UUUGCCAUUUUUUAUUGCUGCAAUACCAUGAAUCUGCCAUUUACCUAUAGGAUAAAAACAUUUUGGCCAAUCAAAAAUACCACAGAAAGAAUUGGAGACAGAGCACUUCCCUAUGCAAAGCCCUGGGUUCCAUCCCCAGCACUGCACAAAGUAACAAGGAUGCAGUCCUGUGAUUUCAGCUUACCAUACCUUUUUGUACACGAGACUUUCUGUGGGUUUUCUAAGGACAUCUUGGGAUUCAGUUUCACAGAACUGUCUUUCAGCCAAAGAAGGUUGACUUUUUGAAUCCAGCACUUCAGAUUAAUUCUUAAACAUGAUACACCUUUUUAUACAUGAUCUACCAUCUAUUAGUCUGAAGGUUAUACAGAAGAACUUUCUUAAAACCUCAAAGUGACCACGAAGACAACAGGAAUAUAAUUUCCAACAAUGCUGCUGCUGUAAUGUUCUUUAAAGUCUCAGAGUCCAGUGCUAGGCUGAUUUUGUGAGAAUAUGGACUUCUACGUAGGGGCCUGCAAGUUUACAAUAAUAACCAGCCUUUAUCAAACACCUACCAUGUGAUAGGGACUACAUCUAAAGCUGCCAAGAAGUUUUUCUAAAACUUGGAAAUAGGCAAAAGGGAAUUCUCCAUGUCCUGUUGGGGGUUAUAUGAACACACUUCAGCCCACUCAACAGAGUGUUAUCCAGUAUUCUAGGAGUCUGUACCUUUGUUUGACUCUGUAUUUUUCUCUUGAUUAGAAUAUUUUAAAUAUUAUAAGGCUAGAUGUUAACUUCUGAAAACUGAUAUCUAGGGUGUCUCAACCUCAGCACUACUGACAUUUGGGGCUAGAUGACUCUUCUGUGGGUGGCUGUCCUGUACAUUCAAGAAUAAUUAGUACCAUCCCUGUUCUCUAAUAAAUAGAUGCCACUGGGUACCCCCUCCAGUUGUGACAACUAAAAAUGUCUUCAAACAUUGCUAAAUGUCCCUUGAGAAUAAAAAUUACUCACUUGAUGACAACUGCUGAUAGUGAUGCUAAUUGAAUUUACUCUUUAGAGAUGCAAAUGAUUUUUCUUUUAAAAAACGAUAACAUUAGUUAACAUUAAAAUUGAGACUCAGUACCUUUAGGCUUCCCCCCUGCAUCCCUCCGACAGCCAACAGCCUCUCGGUGAAAAUGGCCUCAGGUGUGCAAGUGGCUGAUGAAGUAUGUCGCAUUUUUUAUGACAUGAAAGUUCGGAAGUGCUCCACCCCAGAAGAAAUCAGGAAAAGAAAGAAGGCUGUCGUUUUUUUUGUCUC
rnacentral:lncRNA from 1 species